CGAGCUUAUGACCUGCGCCGCCCUAGAUUUCCAGUCGAUCCUGGAGUGGUCACUGCUAUCGGGGUUCGAUUAAGCCAUGCGAGUCGAGAGGGUUCAGACCCUCGGCGGACUGCUCAGUACACGUGGAUGAUCUGCCCUAUGGUGGAGAUAACCCCGGGAAACUGGGGAUAUACUCCAUAAGUCAGGAGUACUGGUAUUGUCUCCUAACUGAAAGUUGCGGCGCAUAGGAUGGAUCUGCGGCGAUUAGGUAGUUGUGGGGUAUUUUUCUCUUUUAGCUGUAUCGGUACGGGUUGUGGGAGCCAUAGUCCGGAGAUGGAAUCUGAGACCGAUCCAAGCCUACGGGGCGCAGCAGGCGAAACUUUCAUGCAGAACUGUGAUAGGACCCGAGUGGCCGUAACGCGGUGUCCGGUGUUUAACAUCGGGAA
rnacentral:rRNA from 1 species